rnacentral:tRNA from 3 species
GUGGUCGUAGCUCAGUUGGUAGAGCACCUGGUUGUGGUCCAGGAUGUCGCGGGUUCGAAUCCCGUCGAUCACCCUCCA